GACGAACGCUGGCGACGGGCUUAACACAUGCAAGUCGAACGAAAAGCCCUGGGCUUGCCCGGGGUGGAAAGUGGCACACGGGUGAGUAACGCGUAGGCAAUCUACCCUCAGCAGGGGAACAACCCCGCGAAAGCGGAGCUAAUACCCCAUAAUGUCCCUUGGUCGCAUGACCUCGGGAUCAAAGUUCAGGCGGCUGAGGAUGAGCCUGCGUUAGAUUAGCUAGUUGGUGGGGUAACGGCCCACAAAGGCAACGAUCUAUAGCGGGUCUGAGAGGAUGAUCCGCCACACUGGCACUGAGACACGGGCCAGACUCCUACGGGAGGCAGCAGUGAGGAAUAUUGCGCAAUGGACGAAAGUCUGACGCAGCCACGCCGCGUGCAGGAAGACACCCCUCCGGGGCGUAAACUGCUUUUAUAUGGGAAGAACACCCCGCACUGUUGCGGGGCCUGACGGUACCAUACGAAUAAGGACCGGCUAACUCCGUGCCAGCAGCCGCGGUAAUACGGAGGGUCCAAGCGUUGUCCGGAAUCACUGGGUGUAAAGGGUGCGCAGGCGGGCUUGUAAGUCAGAGGUGAAAUCCCCCGGCCUAACCGGGGAACUGCCUUUGAUACUGCAAGUCUUGAGUCUUGGAGAGGUUGCCAGAAUUCGUGGUGUAGCGGUGAAAUGCGUAGAUAUCACGAGGAAUACCCGAGGCGUAGGCGGGCAACUGGACAAGUACUGACGCUGAGGCACGAAAGCGUGGGGAGCAAACAGGACUAGAUACCCUGGUAGUCCACGCCGUAAACGAUGGAUGCUCGAUGCUGGUCCGUUUCAGGGGCAGUGUCCAAGCUAACGCGUUAAGCAUCCCACCUGGGGAGUACGAUCGCAAGGUUGAAACUCAAAGGAAUUGACGG
rnacentral:rRNA from 1 species